UUAUGCAAAUGUUGACAUAAGUAUAAAAGGGAAUAGGCGAGAUGAUGGUGGAAUCUUUUUAAGGCUUCGAAUUACAGAUAAAGAUGGUCGCAUUCGAAACAUAUAUUUCCCAUUUGAUGUUGAAACUGAUACAGCAUUGAGUGUUGCUACUGAAAUGGUUGCAGAACUUGAUAUUACUGAUCAAGAUGUGACUAAAAUUGCAGAUACAAUUGAUGGGGAGAUUGCUUCCUUGGUUCCAGAUUGGAGGCCAGGGCCAGGCAUAGAGGAAACACCUCGCUUUGCAAAUCAAACCUUCUGUC
rnacentral:misc_RNA from 1 species